rnacentral:lncRNA from 1 species
GUAUCGGAUCAAAUACGCUUAGAUCCAACCCGCUCCGCUUCCCAACCCAUGACCAACUCAAAGCUUCUCGGACCCUCCAGUUCAUCCUCAGAACCACUUCCAACUCUUGUAACUCUCGUUCUCCGACGCCAUGUAGAAGGGUUCACUCGUCUCCUUCCCCAAGAAGCACCAUCUGUUCCUUAGGAGAUGCCACAGUACUACACCUCGCUUCCUGCGUCAGCGGCCCACUAAGCCGACCUAAGUACCAUUUUUAUUUAAACUCUAUUUACUUCUAUUCCUUCUCUUUUCAACACGGUACUCAAUUUUUUUUUAAUAUCUGCAGUUGUAACAAAAAUCAAUUCUACCAACUACUCCUAGAAAAGACGGUAGAUGCG